CUUUUUAAGAGUUUGAUCCUGGCUCAGGAUGAACGCUGGCGGCGUGCUUAACACAUGCAAGUCGAGCGAACAAAACGGG
rnacentral:rRNA from 1 species